CCUACGGGGGGCUGCAGUGGGGAAUAUUGGACAAUGGGGGCAACCCUGAUCCAGCCAUGCCGCGUGUGUGAAGAAGGCCCUCGGGUUGUAAAGCACUUUCAGUGAGGAAGAACGCCUGGUGGUUAAUACCCAUCAGGAAAGACAUCACGCACAGAAGAAGCACCGGCUAACUCCGUGCCAGCAGCCGCGGUAAUACGGAGGGUGCGAGCGUUAAUCGGAAUUACUGGGCGUAAAGCGCGCGUAGGUGGCUUGAUAAGCCGGUUGUGAAAGCCCCGGGCUCAACCUCGGAACGGCAUCCCGAACUGGCAAGCUUGAGUGCGCGCGAGGAAGGUAGAAUUCCCGGUGUAGCGGUGAAAUGCGUAGAGAUCGGGAGGAAUACCAGUGGCGAAGGCGGCCUUCUGGACUGACACUGACACUGAGGUGCGAAAGCGUGGGUAGCAAACAGGAUUAGAUACCCCGGUAGUC
rnacentral:rRNA from 1 species